CAGAAUGUAUUUUAUAUAAAAUUAUGGUUUUGGAGACCAUAGAUAGGGAAUUAAUUCUCUUUUUCUGA
rnacentral:tRNA from 1 species